rnacentral:rRNA from 1 species
UACGUAGGGGGCAAGCGUUGUCCGGAUUUAUUGGGCGUAAGAGCGUGUAGGCGGCCAGGUAGGUCUGCUGUGAAAACUCGAGGCUUAACCUCGAGCUGUCGGCGGAAACCAUCUGGCUAGAGUCCGGAAGAGGAGAAUGGAAUUCCCGGUGUGGCGGUGAAAUGCGCAGAUAUCGGGAAGAACACCCGUGGCGAAGGCGGUUCUCUGGGACGGUACUGACGCUGAGACGCGAAAGCGUGGGGAGCGAACAGG